rnacentral:lncRNA from 1 species
AUUUAAUGCUGGUAAAUACAAUGACGUUAAUACAUAGCAACCAUGACGUUACAUAUAGAGAGCGGUAACGCGUAUAAGUACAUGUAUGAAUCCCGCGUAAUGUGAUUGUCUCUAUUUAUCCUCGACAUACUCGGGGCCGCGAAAUUGUGCAAUUAAAGUCACAAUGAGCAAUUUAUCCAAAUUAAGAAAAUUAUCUAUAAAUGAAAAGAAAUGAAAUAUUUGAAACUUUAAAGUCUAUGAAUCACAUAUAAAACUAUCUCUGAAUCAAGUUGCGAUUGAAAAUUGUUCUCAAUUAUAAUUACAGUCUCUGAUUGCGGUUUUGUAAACGAACACUCCUUCUAAGUAUUUGCGAUUCAUCAUUGUCGUUUUUUUUUUAACGGGAUGAUGAGGUAUGUAGUGUAUGCGCUGUGAGUCCUCCUUCUCUUCUACCUUUUCGAUGAAACCACGUUUUUUCUGCUUUGUACAGGAUGAAAAUUCUUUGAUGUUCUGUUUUUCCGUGUUAAGUUUGUCGUUUUCUUGUAUACCAAGGGACUUC